rnacentral:rRNA from 1 species
UACGUAGGGUGCGAGCGUUGUCCGGAAUUAUUGGGCGUAAAGAGCUCGUAGGCGGUUUGUUGCGUCGGCCGUGAAAACCUGCAGCUUAACUGUGGGCCUGCGGCCGAUACGGGCAGACUUGAGUUCGGUAGGGGAGACUGGAAUUCCUGGUGUAGCGGUGAAAUGCGCAGAUAUCGGGAGGAACACCGGUGGCGAAGGCGGUUCUCUGGGCCUUACCUGACGCUGAGGAGCGAAAGCGUGGGGAGCGAACAGG